rnacentral:rRNA from 1 species
AACGAACGCUGGCGGCAGGCUUAACACAUGCAAGUCGAACGGGUGUAGCAAUACAUCAGUGGCAGACGGGUGAGUAACACGUGGGAACCUUCCUAGGGGUACGGAACAACUCAGGGAAACUUGAGCUAAUACCGUAUACGUCCGUAAGGAGAAAGAUUCAUCGCCCCUAGACGGGCCCGCGUACGGAUUAGGUAGUUGGUGGGGUAACGGCCUACCAAGCCUACGAUCCGUAGCUGAUCUGAGAGGAUGAUCAGCCACACUGGGACUGAGACACGGCCCAGACUCCUACGGGAGGCAGCAGUGGGGAAUCUUGGACAAUGGGCGCAAGCCUGAUCCAGCCAUGCCGCGUGAGUGAAGAAGGCCUUAGGGUUGUAAAGCUCUUUUACCA